rnacentral:rRNA from 1 species
GAUGAACGCUGGCGGCGUGCCUAAUACAUGCAAGUCGAGCGAACAGAUGAGGAGCUUGCUCCUCUGACGUUAGCGGCGGACGGGUGAGUAACACGUGGAUAACCUACCUAUAAGACUGGGAUAACUUCGGGAAACCGGAGCUAAUACCGGAUAAUAUAUUGAACCGCAUGGUUCAAUAGUGAAAGACGGUUUUGCCGUCACUUAUAGAUGGAUCCGCGCCGCAUUAGCUAGUUGGUAAGGUAACGGCUUACCAAGGCAACGAUGCGUAGCCGACCUGAGAGGGUGAUCGGCCACACUGGAACUGAGACACGGUCCAGACUCCUACGGGAGGCAGCAGUAGGGAAUCUUCCGCAAAGGGCGAAAGCCUGACGGAGCAACGCCGCGUGAGUGAUGAAGGUCUUCGGAUCGUAAAACUCUGUUAUUAGGGAAGAACAAAUGUGUAAGUAACUAUGCACGUCUUGACGGUACCUAAUCAGAAAGCCACGGCUAACUACGUG